AGAUUUGAGACGCUGCUGCUGUCUCCAGUCGCGCGUGUGCCACGGUUAUCGCGUCGCGUGUCGCGUGUGAAAGUGACUUAAGGCCGCUGGUUCAUUUUCACGCCGGUGUUUCUUGUUACGGGAAUUCUCACUUACUACCAAAUGCUCUGACUCCUCAAGAAGUCAUGGCAGACCCCCCUACCAAUCCGCCUACAAACAAGCAACGCUGCAGUUGCGGUAAACUGCCGCUAGAUGCCAGCAUUGACAGCGCUACAGCUCCACCAGCAACAGCUGAUUGCGAGGCGCCAAAUUCAAAUAUCACCAGCGACGUCGGCGCCGCUUCUGAAGCGUCUGCGCAUGCGCGGAAAUUGUCGGAAAGCGUCGCUGGAGACGAGGAACGUUUCGACGCCAGUAGUAAACGCGCGUCAAACGCCUCCACUGGCGUCUCUUGUACUACCGGGUCCAAGGAACAGAUCUGCCGCCUCCAAGACGUGAGCGCCGCCCCCGCGUGUGCGGUGAACAUCUGGCCGGUGGUGUCGGCGCACGACCCCGACCCCAUCCUCUCGCCGCCCUGCGACUCGUUCCUGUACUCGGGACCCGUGUCGUUGACGGAGAUCCUGCAGGAGAGGGAUCGGCACUACGUGGACUGGCGCUGCACCAAGUUGAGCUUCGACGACUCGGACAGAGUGCGUGACUUCGCCGUGUGGGCCGCUCAGGGCAAACGCAGCAUCGACGAGUAUUGGGGCUGUGGACGCAGUAAGAUAAUCGUAGAUCACAGCGUCGGCGGCGACCGUUACCGCGCGCUAAAUGAUAACCGGCGACGAAUCGACCAAGCCACUCUCACGGAACAGCCCCCCUCUCGCCACCACCACAACACCAUCACCUCCUCACGCAUGCGCAUGGGCAACGGCGCAUCGUCGUGCGACGCCACCCGGCAUGCGGCAGGCGACAAGCGGCAUGCGUCAAGUGACAGCGUCAGGCAUGCGGAAACCGCGCGACAGACAUGCGCCUCGACGCUGCUGGACGUGAGUUGUACGGGUGGCCGCGGCGGUGUGACAUCUUGUGCCAACGAGGCAGUCAUACCUCUGCUGCAGCGGGAGUUGAAGGAGUGGGAGACACGAGCCAUGCAGCUAGGUACUGAGCUGCUGCAGCUGAGGAGGGAGCUCGAAGCCAGGGACCACGAGAUUGUCAGGCUGCACAGGGAGGUGCACAAGUUGAGGAGUGUACUGCAGCAAACAACAACUCUGGUGCAAGAUGGAGAUUUGCUGUCAUCUCUACAGCAGGUGCACGGUAUGGUUGGGCAGAAUGCCUCCAACAAGAAGCAGGGCGUUUCGGCCGAGAGCUCCAGGAACAACCAGACGGCUACAGAUAUCCAGGUGCAGCAUUUCGAGAAGGACUUCAGCUCAAAACAACUCAUCAAAGCUGCUAUUCUGGACAACGAUUUCUUGAAAAACCUGAGUCUGAGCCAAGUGAGAGAGCUGGUGGAGUCCAUGCAUCCACAGGAGUGCACCAAGGGAAACUAUGUCAUAAGGGAGGGAGAGUCAGGUGCCCAUCUAUACGUGGCUGCAGAAGGUGAAUUUGAAGUGAUCAAAGAUGGUAAGGUGCUGGGACAUAUGGGACCAGGCAAGGCGUUUGGAGAACUCGCUAUCCUAUACAACUGCACAAGGACUGCUUCAGUAAGAGCUGUCAAGGAUUCCAAAGUAUGGGUGCUGGACAGGCGAAUAUUUCAGAGGAUAAUGAAAAGAACAGGUCUGCAAAGGCUGGAAGAAAAUAUCAGUUUUCUACGCAGUGUACCUCUUCUUCAUAAUCUAAGUAGUGAUAUGCUGGCAAGGAUAGCUGAUUGCUUGGAAGUGGAGUUUUUCCCGUCUGGCCAUCACAUCAUAAGGCAGGGUGCAAGUGGAGAUACAUUCUUCAUUCUGAGCGGGGGAAGUGUGAAAGUUACACAGAAAAUACCAGGAACGACUGAAGACCAAGAAAUUAGGAUACUGGAAAGAGGUGACUACUUCGGCGAGCAAGCUCUGCUGAAGGAGGAGUUCCGCACAGCCAGCGUGAUAGCACUGUCGCCGGGCGUCGAGUGCCUGACUCUGGACCGCGAGUCGUUCAUCCGACUGAUCGGCGACCUGAGUGAGCUACACCAGCGCGACUAUGGCGACAAGACGCGAAGUGUCGUGUCGCGGCCACCCAGCGCGUCCAGUGUGCAUCAGGAUAGUGAUCAAGGUGAAAUGGACUUCAUCAGCCUGAACGACCUGGACAUAAUCGAGACACUGGGAAUUGGCGGGUUCGGCCGCGUUGAGCUGGUGCAGUGCGUCUUCGACAAGAACCAGACGUUUGCGCUCAAGUGCCUCAAGAAGCAGCACAUCGUCGAAACACACCAGCAGGAGCAUGUCUACAGCGAGAAGAGUAUCAUGAUGGAGUGUCGCAGUGCAUUCAUUUGCAGGUUGUACAAAACAUUCAAAGACAACAAGUACGUGUACAUGCUGCUUGAGGCGUGUAUGGGAGGGGAGGUGUGGACCAUUCUGCGGGACCGCGGCUACUUCGAUGACGCCACCGCUUGCUUCAUCACCGCCUGCGUGGUCGAGGCUCUCGACUACUUGCACAGCAGGGGCAUUGUCUACCGGGACCUCAAACCUGAGAAUCUGUUGCUAGAUUCGACGGGUUAUGUCAAAAUAUAUUGUCUUUUCAGGUUGACUUUGGUUUUGCAAAAAAGUUGGGCUACAGUUCAAAAACAUGGACAUUCUGUGGUACACCUGAGUAUGUGGCUCCUGAGAUCAUUCUCAACAAGGGACACGAUAAGGCUGUGGACUGUUGGGCUCUGGGAAUCCUCAUGCAUGAACUAUUAACUGGAGCGCCUCCAUUCAGCGGCACCGACCCGAUGAAAGUAUACAACAUGAUUCUGAAAGGCAUCAACAUGGUGCUGUUUCCGCGACACAUGACUCGCGCCGCACAAUGCCUCAUCAAGCGGCUCUGCAAGGACGCGCCAGCCGAACGCCUGGGCGCUCAGAAGGGUGGCAUCAACGACAUACGCAAGAACAAAUGGUUCCAAGGUUUUGACUGGGACGGAUUACGGAAUAGAACUCUUGUACCUCCAAUAGUGCCUCAGAUACACAGUCCAACGGACACUUCGAAUUUCGACAACUAUCCGAAAGAAGCGGACAUUCCUCCCGACGAGGAUUCACACUGGGACGUCGAUUUCUGAUUAUAGUAGAAUUUCAAUUAUGAUUCUACACAGUUUUGAAAAUCAGUGGGAAAACAGUUACCAUGAUGGCUUGCGGUAAAAAUAUGAGAAAAACUUCGAAUAGUGCCGAGGUUUUGUGAAGAAAAUAACGUUGGCCGUUUUUCAAACGAAUAUUUUUGAAAAUACGGUAUCCUACAAAGGAGUAAAAUAAGCUAAGAUUUUGAAUAGUUCAGACAUUUCGUAAAAAAAACAUAAGUCUUCAAAUGAUGAUUCACAACUAUACAAAACAUCAAAGGCGCAAAGGGAGGUACAUUUUAAUUAAAGCUGUAUUCUACUUGUUUCAAUUUGUUCUAAGAUUUUUAAAAAUAACCUUCAAACGGUAAAAAUAAGCUGAAAGUUGUAUUCUAUUUGUUUUGAUAUCAAGAUUUUUUAAAAUAGCCUACAAACGGUAAAAAGAAGCUAAGUACAGAAGUCUUGUGAGAAAUAACACAGACGAUCAAGAAACUAAGGUCCUUUGGCUAUCUCUGUACAUACGAUUCUCAAGAACGUUAUUAGCCGAGCAUGAUUUGUUUGCCUAGUAACCAAAAAUAGAAACCAAUUUUAGUAGCCAUUACAAUGGUUCUGAUGUUUUAAUUGGUUGUCAAAACGUGCUUGACUAAGCACGUUCUACGCCUAGAAGCCAAUAACAGGAAUCAAUCUGAAGGAUUCUAGUAGUAGAAUAGUUUUCAUUGUUUUAAAGUAUAAUAUUACUCAUUGGAUAGCAAGGCGUGCUUGGCUGAGAACAUU